rnacentral:lncRNA from 1 species
GUACUGGUUUUGAUUCAAGCCUGUAUUUUCAGUCUCAACACUUACGUAUGCAUAUGUUCCUGUAUAAAUGUGUGUGUAUACACAGGGAAUUUCACAGCAUGAUGCUGGGGAAGUCCAAGAACGGAUCCGUAAAGCUGAGUAAGGUUGGAGAAUUGAAUCCUUCGAGGAAGAUCCUUGCAACUCUGCAAAGACACUGAUAGAACUGGAUGGAAGAACAGGCAGUUGAUUUCCAGGCUCUUUUCAGAAGCCCCAGGACGAGCUGCAUUAGACCGCAGAAGACUUCCUGGCCCAUAUUCCAACUCCUGCCACCUCCAGUUCACCUGCCAAGAGCUCCUGAUCCCAAUCGUGGUGACAAUCUUCAACCCACUGCACUUACCUGACUCACAGCUUGGUCAAGGCAACCAAACUCGGGUGCAGAAGGGUUCUUAAAGUAUGAAAAAGUGCAAGAGAUGGAGCCUGAGAGAAACACCUAUGGGAAAGAAGAAUAUCACCCAGUAGUGGGUGUCACCCACAGGGAAUGGUCGUCAACCUGGGAGCAGGUCACAGUCGUGAAGGAAGGUUGGUUUAUUCAGCAUUCACUCUGAAAGGCUUCUCUUGGGUUAUGUUAUGCUGCAGUAUUGUUUUUAUUCCUAGGCUUCAGAGAUGAUUU